ensembl:lncRNA
GUUGAGAGAAGGUGGUGGUGGUUGUGAGGAGGAGGUUGUGGUGGUGGUUGAGAGAAGGUGGUGGUGGCUGAGAGGAGGGGAGGUGGUGGUGGUGGUUGAGAGGAGGUGGUGGUGGUUGAGAGGAGGAGGAAGUGGUGGUGGUUGAGAGGAGGAGGUGGUGGUUGAGAGAAGGAGGUGGUGGUUGAGAGAAGGAGGUGGUGGUGGUUGAGAGAAGGAGGUGGUGGUGGUUGAGAGGAGGAGGUGGUGGUGGUUGAGAGGAGGUGGUGUUGGUUGAGAGGAGGAGGUGGUGGUGGUUGAGAGGAGGUGGUGGUGGUUGAGAGGUGGUGGUGGUUGAGAGGAGGAGGUGGUGGUGGUUGAGAGGAGGAGGUGGUGGUGGUUGAGAGGAGGUGGUGUUGGUUGAGAGGAGGAGGUGGUGGUGGUUGAGAGGAGGAGGUGGUGGUGGUUGAGAGGAGGUGGUGUUGGUUGAGAGGAGGAGGUGGUGGUGGUUGAGAGGUGGUGGUG